rnacentral:rRNA from 1 species
UUCCCCUUCGGGGGACAAAGUGACAGGUGGUGCAUGGUUGUCGUCAGCUCGUGUCGUGAGAUGUUGGGUUAAGUCCCGCAACGAGCGCAACCCUUAAGCUUAGUUGCCAUCAUUAAGUUGGGCACUCUAAGUUGACUGCCGGUGACAAACCGGAGGAAGGUGGGGAUGACGUCAAAUCAUCAUGCCCCUUAUGAUUUGGGCUACACACGUGCUACAAUGGACAAUACAAAGGGCAGCGAAACCGUGAGGUCAAGCAAAUCCCAUAAAGUUGUUCUCAGUUCGGAUUGUAGUCUGCAACUCGACUACAUGAAGCUGGAAUCGCUAGUAAUCGUAGAUCAGCAUGCUACGGUGAAUACGUUCCCGGGUCUUGUACACACCGCCCGUCACACCACGAGAGUUUGUAACACCCGAAGCCGGAGGAGUAACCUUUUAGGAGCUAGCCGUCGAAGGUGGGACAAAUGAUUGGGGUGAAGUCGUAACAAGGUAGCCGUAUCGGAAGGUGCGGCUGGAUCACCUCCUUU